CCCAUUCAUUCUCUAUGGGGCCAGAAGAGAUGCGGAGAGCACGCUAUGCCGCGCCUCCAAAAAAAACAUAGAACAUGUCCUAUUCUUGUCCGCAAUUGUGGACAAGAAUAAGCAGUUCGAUGGGGGUUGCCGGCCGGCCGUAUUGCGAAUCCGCAAUACACUACAGACGUGUGAAUGGACCCUUAAUCUGCUUUCACA